GUGCUCGCUUCGGCAGCACAUAUACUAAAAUUGGAACGAUACAGAGAUUAGCAUGGCCCCUGCACAAGGAUUAUGUGCAAAUUUGUGAAGUGUUCCAUAUUUUU